rnacentral:rRNA from 1 species
GACGAACCGAGCGAACGUUGUUCGGAAUCACUGGGCUUAAAGGGCGCGUAGGCGGGUGCUCAAGUCUGGGGUGAAAUCCUCCAGCUUAACUGGAGAACUGCCAUGGAUACUGGGUGUCUCGAGGAAGAUAGGGGUAUGCGGAACGAUUGGUGGAGCGGUGAAAUGCGUUGAUAUCAAUCGGAACUCCGGUGGCGAAGGCGGCAUACUGGAUCUUAUCUGACGCUGAGGCGCGAAAGCUAGGGGAGCAAACGGG